AGGACGAACGCUGGCGGCGUGCUUAACACAUGCAAGUCGAGCGGUAAGGCUCCUUCGGGAGUACACGAGCGGCGAACGGGUGAGUAACACGUGAGCAAUCUGCCCUUCACUUUGGGAUAACUUCCGGAAACGGAAGCUAAUACCGAAUACGACCAUUACAGACAUCUGUUGAUGGUGGAAAGUUCCGGCGGUGAAGGAUGAGCUCGCGGCCUAUCAGCUUGUUGGUGGGGUAAUGGCCCACCAAGGCGACGACGGGUAGCCGGCCUGAGAGGGUGACCGGCCACACUGGGACUGAGACACGGCCCAGACUCCUACGGGAGGCAGCAGUGGGGAAUAUUGGACAAUGGGCGAAAGCCUGAUCCAGCAACGCCGCGUGAGGGAUGACGGCCUUCGGGUUGUAACCUCUUUCUAGCGAGGGACGAAGCGAAGUGACGGUACCUGCAGAAGAAGCACCGGCCAACGUACGUGCCAGCAGCCGCGGUAA
rnacentral:rRNA from 1 species